AUUGAACGCUGGCGGCAGGCCUAACACAUGCAAGUCGAACGAGUGGCGGACGGGUGGGUAAUGUCUGGAAAACUGCCUGAUGGAGGGGGAUAACUACUGGAAAAGGUAGCUAAUACCGCAUACCAUCAGAUGUGCCGAGAUGGGAUUAGCUUGUGGGUGGGGUAACGGCUCACCAAGGCGACGAUCCCUAGCUGGUCUGAGAGGAUGACCGGCCACACUGGAACUGAGACACGGUCCAGACUCCUACGGGAGGCAGCAGUGGGGAAUCUUGCACAAUGGGCGAAAGCCUGAUGCAGCCAUGCCGCGUGUGUGAAGAAGGCCUUCGGGUUGUAAAGCACUUUCAUCGGGGAGGCGUUACCCGCAGAAGAAGCACCGGCUAACUCCGUGCCAGCAGCCGCGGUAAUAC
rnacentral:rRNA from 1 species